CAAUGGGCGAAAGCNUGACGGAGCAACGCCGCGUGAGGGAGGAAGGCCUUUGGGUUGUAAACCCCUUUUCUCAGGGAAGAAGAUCUGACGGUACCUGAGGAAUAAGCAUCGGCUAACUCCGUG
rnacentral:rRNA from 1 species